rnacentral:rRNA from 1 species
AUUGAACGCUGGCGGCAGGCCUAACACAUGCAAGUCGAACGAGUGGCGGACGGGUGAGUAAUGUCUGGGAAACUGCCUGAUGGAGGGGGAUAACUACUGGAAACGGUAGCUAAUACCGCAUACCAUCAGAUGUGCCCAGAUGGGAUUAGCUAGUUGGUGGGGUAACGGCUCACCAAGGCGACGAUCCCUAGCUGGUCUGAGAGGAUGACCAGACACACUGGAACUGAGACACGGUCCAGACUCCUACGGGAGGCAGCAGUGGGGAAUAUUGCACAAGGGGCGAAAGCCUGAUGAAGCCAUGCCGCGGGUGUGAAGAAGGCAUUCGGGUUGUAAAGCACUUUCAGCGAGGAGGCGUUACUCGCAGAAGAAGCACCGGCUAACUCCGUGCCAGCAGCCGCGGUAAUAC